rnacentral:rRNA from 1 species
CAAGUCGAACGGAACUGUUUUGAAAGAUUUCUUCGGAAUGAAUUUGAUUUAGUUUAGUGGCGGACGGGUGAGUAACGCGUGAGUAACCUGCCUUCAAGAGGGGGAUAACAUUCUGAAAAGAAUGCUAAUACCGCAUGACAUAUCGGAACCACAUGGUUUUGAUAUCAAAGAUUUUAUCGCUUGAAGAUGGACUCGCGUCCGAUUAGUUAGUUGGUGAGGUAACGGCUCACCAAGACCGCGAUCGGUAGCCGGACUGAGAGGUUGAACGGCCACAUUGGGACUGAGACACGGCCCAGACUCCUACGGGAGGCAGCAGUGGGGGAUAUUGCGCAAUGGGGGCAACCCUGACGCAGCAACGCCGCGUGAAGGAUGAAGGUUUUCGGAUUGUAAACUUCUUUUAUUAAGGACGAAAAUUGACGGUACUUAAUGAAUAAGCUCCGGCUAACUACGUGCCAGCAGCCGCGGUAAUACGUAGGGAGCAAGCGUUGUCCGGAUUUACUGGGUGUAAAGGGUGCGUAGGCGGCUUUGCAAGUCAGAUGUGAAAUCUAUGGGCUCAACCCAUAAACUGCAUUUGAAACUGUAGAGCUUGAGUGAAGUAGAGGCAGGCGGAAUUCCCCGUGUAGCGGUGAAAUGCGUAGAGAUGGGGAGGAACACCAGUGGCGAAGGCGGCCUGCUGGGCUUUAACUGACGCUGAGGCACGAAAGCGUGGGUAGCAAACAGGAUUAGAUACCCUGGUAGUCCACGCUGUAAACGAUGAUUACUAGGUGUGGGGGGUCUGACCCCUUCCGUGCCGGAGUUAACACAAUAAGUAAUCCACCUGGGGAGUACGGGCCGCAAGGUUGAAACUCAAAGGAAUUGACGGGGGGCCCGCACAAGCAGUGGAGUAUGUGGUUUAAUUCGA